GGCAGACGGGUGAGUAACAUGUAGGUAUCUGCCCUUUGGCCUGGAAUAACACGAGGAAACUUGUGCUAAUACCGGAUAAGUCUUUACGGAGAAGGCUUUAUGCACCAUUGGAUGAGCCUGCACUUGAUUAGUUUGUUGGUGGGGUAAUGGCCUACCAAGACUGUGAUCAAUAGCUGAUUUGAGAGGAUGAUCAGCCACAUUGGGACUGAGACACGGCCCAAACUCCUACGGGAGGCAGCAGUGGGGAAUCUUGCACAAUGGAGGAAACUCUGAUGCAGCGAUGCCGCGUGAGUGAAGAAGGCCCUUGGGUUGUAAAGCUCUUUCGUCGGGGAAGAAAAUGACUGUACCCGAAUAAGAAGGUCCGGCUAACUUCGUGCCAGCAGCCGCGGUAAUACGAAGGGACCUAGCGUAGUUCGGAAUUACUGGGCUUAAAGAGUUCGUAGGUGGUUGAAAAAGUUAGUGGUGAAAUCCCAGAGCUUAACUCUGGAACUGCCAUUAAAACUUUUCAGCUAGAGUAUGAUAGAGGAAAGCAGAAUUUCUAGUGUUGAGGUGAAAUUCGUAGAUAUUAGAAAGAAUACCAAUUGCGAAGGCAGCUUUCUGGAUCAUUACUGACACUGAGGAACGAAAGCAUGGGUAGCGAAGAGGAUUAGAUACCCUCGUAGUCCAUGCCGUAAACGAUGUGUGUUAGACGUUG
rnacentral:rRNA from 1 species